GGUGAUGUUUCCUGUUUUGAUGAAGUCCCUGAGAUGGAACUGGGUGCGGCUUUGGAAUGUUUGGAGCCUGUGAGGCCAGGGCUGAUUGUGGAGGCUGCUGCGAUACCGUAGGUUGGAUUGCAGGAAUCUACAAAGGACAAUCUGUUAGGAUGUAGAGAAAUGCACCAUGUGAAACACGAGAGGACAUAAAACCACAAAGAGUAUUGGCAUACCACUGGAGGAGGUUGCACCAUUCCCAACAUGAUCUGAGCCUGUCCAAAGUAAGGUACAAAGAAAUGAGGAAUAGAAAUAGUCACUGAAAAAUCCAGACACCAUCUUAUAAAUAAACAAACAUAAAUGAAUAAUUCUCAUGGCUGGCCUUGGAUAUCUAACUUAGCCGGGAGAAAUCAUGAUCUAACCUGAGUAGGAUCAAAAUCCAAGUAUGAAGUUCACCA
rnacentral:lncRNA from 1 species